AGGAAAGACACCCAUCAAGAGUCACAAAGAAACCAGAAACAGAACAUCAUGGUGUCAGAAGACGUGUUGAGAGGUCAGCAAGUGGAUCCAGUGAAAUGCGCAUGACUCGCUUCAUAAUCCCUCGACAACAGCAAGCAGAUAUACCUCCAGUACCAAACAUACCUCCUAUACCAAUACCGAUUCCUGUACCAAUACCACUUGACCCAACUGCG